UGGGGAAACCCAGUGUGAUUCGUCACACUAUCAUUAACUGAAUCCAUAGGUUAAUGAGGCGAACCGGGGGAACUGAAACAUCUAAGUACCCCGAGGAAAAGAAAUCAACCGAGAUUCCCCCAGUAGCGGCGAGCGAACGGGGAGGAGCCCAGAGCCUGAAUCAGCAUGUGUGUUAGUGGAAGCGUCUGGAAAGGCGCGCGAUACAGGGUGACAGCCCCGUACACAAAAGCGCAUGUGCUGUGAGCUCGAUGAGUAGGGCGGGACACGUGGUAUCCUGUCUGAAUAUGGGGGGACCAUCCUCCAAGGCUAAAUACUCCUGACUGACCGAUAGUGAACCAGUACCGUGAGGGAAAGGCGAAAAGAACCCCGGCGAGGGGAGUGAAAAAGAACCUGAAACCGUGUACGUACAAGCAGUGGGAGCCCCACCACCAAAGCAUUUGCUGUACCGCGUUGACGGAGCGAAGCGACGUCAAACCGAUAAAACAGCAGUGUAAAGUGAGCCGCAGGGCGCUUU
rnacentral:rRNA from 1 species